GACUUUUAAGCAUUUGCUGACGAUACUACACUAUUCUUUGAGCGUGGUAGUUGGACUGAGGUGGAAAAUAAAACAAAUCUAGGACUGCCAGUAGUUAAUAAAUGUUACACUAAAAAUAGUUUAUUGCUAAACAAAGAAAAAUAAGUUUUUAUUCCUUUUUUACGCUGUAGCAGAUAAUUGUAAAGACAAAAAGACGGACACACUUCACAUAAUAGGUGAGACACUGUUGUAGAUGGGAUGUUGAAAAGGU